UCAUCUUACUUGGGGCAAUUAGUAGAUCAGACUGGCCCAAUCAAUGCUAAUAAACUAAGAAACAUUGCAUUUAUGAUUCACGAAAAGAAGUUAAGUUUAACUAAAAAUUUAACUUAAACAAUUUUUUGUAUCAUUUUAAUUGAAAUAAUAUGCAAUGAAUACAUGAUUUGUUAUGUAGUUAUAAAAUCUAUGUUUUACGACCCUAUCUGCUUUUCUCUGCACAAACUCUUUCUCGUCUUAGUGGGCUUUGCCCGAUAAUCAGGUACUUCUUUUAGGACCUAUUUGUUGAAUUUGAAUCACAGAUGCAAUUAAAUUAGCAUUAGGAGUUGCAGAUAUCAACCAAUGAAACAGGUUUUGACUUCUUUUUAUUUGAAGCAAUACAACAAAUAAUGCAGCAGACUAUAUAAACUAUCAUUGGUAUUAAAAUACCGCCUACUGUACCUUCAAUAGCACCAAUACCUAAAAACAGUGUCACUAGUAUUACAGAGUCCUAGUGUAGCAGUAUUGGUGUAUGAUGAAGAAUAUGCUAUUUAUAUAUUACAAUUAAAAUGUCAAUGGAGUGAAAUUAAUCAGAACUGACUUACAACAAGAAACAGUUACAUCCUCAGAAUGUGAACACGAUGUAACACUGGAGCUAGGACAAGAAUUCCUUGAAUUGAAGCAGGUACUUGAUGAACUACUUGAAAAAUGUGUAGACCAUAUUGGCUGACUGGAACUACCAGGACUAUAAUAAAAAUAAGACUAAUGACAUUAAAGCAAGAUUAUGACAUCUUACAGUGACAAAUGAUCAUAUCUUGAAUAAUAAGAAUAUCCCAACUGCUUGCAUACGGUCCUGGCAUCAGUUGAACUAAA